CUACGGGUGGCUCCAGUGAGGAAUUUUGCGUAAUGGGGGAAACCCUGACGCAGCAACGCCGCGUGAGCGAAGAAGGCCCUCGGGUCGUAAAGCUCUGUCAAGUGGGAAAAAAAUUUUUUGAUCAACAGUCAAAAGACUUGAUGGUACCACUGGAGGAAGCACCGGCUAACUCCGUGCCAGCAGCCGCGGUAAUACAGAGGGUGCGAGCGUUGUUCGGAUUUACUGGGCGUAAAGAGCGUGUAGGCGGUUUAGCAAGUCAGAUGUGAAAGCCCUGGGCUCAACCCGGGAAGUGCAUUUGAAACUGCUUCACUAGAGUAUGGGAGAGGAGAUUGGAAUUCCUGGUGUAGAGGUGAAAUUCGUAGAUAUCAGGAGGAACACCCGUGGCGAAGGCGAUUCUCUGGACCAAUACUGACGCUGAGACGCGAAAGCGUGGGGAGCAAACAGGAUUAGAUACCCGAGUAGUC
rnacentral:rRNA from 1 species